rnacentral:snRNA from 1 species
GUGCUCGCUUUGGCAGCACAUAUACCAAGAUUGGAACGAUACAGAGAUUAGCAUGGUCCCUGCGAAAGGAUGACAUGCAAAUUCGUGAAGCGUUCCAUGUUUUU